rnacentral:rRNA from 1 species
GCUAAACGCGAAGAACCUUACCAAGGCUUGACAUGGAUUUCUAAGCACGUGAAAGCGUGUGACCCUUCGGGGACGUUCCACAGGUGCUGCAUGGCCGUCGUCAGCUCGUGUCGUGAGAUGUUGGGUUAAGUCCCGCGAACGAGCGCAACCCCUCGCCGCCAGUUACAAGUGUCUGGCGGGACUGCCGGUGACAAACCGGAGGAAGGUGGGGAUGACGUCAAGUCAGCAUGGCCUUGAUGUCCAGGGCGACACACACGCUACAAUGGCAGGUACAAUGGGCAGCGAAGCCGCGAGGUGGAGCGAAUCCCGCAAAGCCUGUCGUAGUUCGGAUUGCAGGCUGCAACUCGCCUGCAUGAAGCCGGAGUUGCUAGUAACCGUGGGUCAGCCACACUACGGUGAAUACGUUCCCGGGUCUUGAC